GUGCGGUGUGACUUUUGCACUGUAAAAUACGGUAUUAUCAUGGAUAGCCACCAUAUCAUUCAUCCUGAGGAUGGAUAAUUCUUUCUUCACCUCCACAACGCACUGUGUAUCAUACUUGAAAGUAUUCGAACAUGUUCCUAAUUAAAUUAAUGAGAUAGAUGAUGUGACGUCUAUCCAUGAUGCUACAAAAUUCUACGGUGCAAAAAUUAUGCCGCU
rnacentral:lncRNA from 1 species